GAUGAAGAACGCAGCAAAAUGCGAUAAGUAAUGUGAAUUGCAGAAUUCAGUGAAUCAUCGAAUCUUUGAACGCACAUUGCGCCCGCCAGUAUUCUGGCGGGCAUGCCUGUUCGAGCGUCAUUUCAACCCUCAAGCUCAGCUUGGUGUUGGGACUCGCGGUAACCCGCGUUCCCCAAAUCGAUUGGCGGUCACGUCGAGCUUCCAUAGCGUAGUAAUCAUACACCUCGUUACUGGUAAUCGUCGCGGCCACGCCGUUAAACCCCAACUUCUGAAUGUUGACCUCGGAUCAGGUAGGAAUACCCGCUGAACUUAAGCAUAUCAUAAGCGGAGGA
rnacentral:misc_RNA from 1 species